rnacentral:piRNA from 1 species
UGCAAAUGAAUUCGGCCGUUUCUUGCAGCA